rnacentral:rRNA from 1 species
UCCAGACUCCUACGGGAGGCAGCAGUGGGGGAUAUUGCACAAUGGGGGAAACCCUGAUGCAGCGACGCCGCGUGAGUGAAGAAGUAUUUCGGUAUGUAAAGCUCUAUCAGCAGGGAAGAAAAAAGACGGUACCUGACUAAGAAGCCCCGGCUAACUACGUGCCAGCAGCCGCGGUAAUACGUAGGGGGCAAGCGUUAUCCGGAUUUACUGGGUGUAAAGGGAGCGUAGACGGCAAUACAAGUCGGAAGUGAAAUACCCGGGCUCAACCUGGGAACUGCUUUGGAAACUGUAUGGCUGGAGUGCUGGAGAGGUAAGCGGAAUUCCUAGUGUAGCGGUGAAAUGCGUAGAUAUUAGGAGGAACACCAGUGGCGAAGGCGGCUUACUGGACAGUAACUGACGUUGAGGCUCGAAAGCGUGGGGAGCAAACAGGAUUAGAUACCCCUGUAAG